GACGAACGCUGGCGGCGUGCUUAACACAUGCAAGUCGAACGAGGCCCCUCCUUCGGGAGGGUGUCCUAGUGGCGAACGGGUGAGUAACACGUGGGCAACCUGCCCCCGGCUCGGGGAUAACUCCAAGAAAUUGGGGCUAAUACCGGAUAUGACCGCUGACCGCAUGGUCCGGUGGUGGAAAGAUUUAUCGGCUGGGGAUGGGCCCGCGGCCUAUCAGCUUGUUGGUGGGGUAGUGGCCUACCAAGGCGACGACGGGUAGCCGGCCUGAGAGGGUGACCGGCCACACUGGGACUGCGACACGGCCCAGACUCCUACGGGAGGCAGCAGUGGGGAAUAUUGCGCAAUGGGCGGAAGCCUGACGCAGCGACGCCGCGUGGGGGAUGACGGCCUUCGGGUUGUAAACCUCUUUCAGCAGGGACGAAGCGCAAGUGACGGUACCUGCAGAAGAAGCACCGGCCAACUACGUGCCAGCAGCCGCCGUAAAAC
rnacentral:rRNA from 1 species